GGCAUAUAUUGGUGAAAAAAUGGGGAUAUGUUAAGGCACAAUAUGCACCUUAUGAGAUACCCUGGAGUGUCUACUUUUACAAAUGGUAGGCCUUUGUGGGGGGGUUUUGAACAGUCAAACUGUUAUAAUACCCCAAAUGGAAGCUAAGGCUCAUUAAAUCCAUGUCUCAAAAUUCUACUGUGAAUACUGAAAAGGACAGGUCUCCUAUAUGGCACUGUAGCUUCAUGAAAUAGUGCCAUACAAUGGGGGUGUCCUUUUACUCAGAAGACUUAGCUGAGCAUAAUUUGGGAGGUUUGAACUUAGUGGCACAUACGAAAUAUACAAAACGCCCAGCAAAAAUGCAAUCCGUAUGUAAAAAAUGCACAAAAUUAUUUUUUACCACAUACUUUGGCAUAUAUUGGUGUAAAAAUGGGGGUAUGUUAAGGCACAAUAUGCACCUUAUGAGAUACCCUGGAGUGUCUACUUUUACAAAUGGUAGGCCUUUGUGGUGUUUUUGUGAACAGUCAAACUGUUAUAAUACCCCAAAUGGAAGCUAAGGCUCAUUAAAUCCAUCUCUCAAAAUUCUACUGUGAAUACUGAAAAGGACAGGUAUCCUGUAUGACACUGUAACUUCACGAAAUAGUGCCAAAGACAUACAAUGGAGGUGUCAUUUUACUCAGCAGAUGUAACUGAACACAAAAUAAAACUUUGUACAGGAAUAGUGUGCCAAAAAACAGAAAAAACACAAUUUUACUCCAAUAUUUAGCAGAGGUUGGCGGUGAAAUGGCUACGUAGAAAGUGUCAAAACAACCUUAGGUAAAUAGCCGUGACUUGUCUUAGGCACACCCUUAUUUGUGCUUUUCUCUCCAUUGUAUUCCAAGGGGCUUAGAGGGGAUUCCCCUUUUCCAUAGGUGUGCUCCUUUGCUGUCAUAUUCUCUGUUUUGCUAUCAGCGCUGAACCUCCUUCCUGAUCUUAAAUAGCCCGUGAUGUCUACUUUAUAUAAAUAUAUACUUUUGUGUGGCAAUUUUGUUUUCUUUUAUGGCUAUUAAGCUUACAAGACAAACAUACCAAAUUCUAAGAUCGCUCCACAUUAAAAGUCUAUUUUACUCCUUGUGACCUGUAACUACCAAAAAAAACUUAAAAUCCCAGACACAUUAUAUAUUCUGUAAAUCAGAACAACUAAAUUAAUUUAUUUUUAAUUACUUUUCUUAACCUGCACUAAUUAUGCACACAUUAUUAUUGCAAAAACUGUAAAAAAAAACACAAAAUUUUCAUUUU